rnacentral:rRNA from 1 species
GAAUGGGGGCACCUGAUCAUUCAAUGCCGCGUGAGUGAAGAAGGCCUUCGGGUUGUAAAGCUCUUUUGUCAGGGAAGAAACACCGGCUCUAACACAGUCCGGGAAUGACGGUACCUGAAGAAUAAGCACCGGCUAACUACGUGCCAGCAGCCGCGGUAAUACGUAGGGUGCGAGCGUUAAUCGGAAUUACUGGGCGUAAAGCGUGCGCAGGCGGUUAUACAAGACAGGCGUGAAAUCCCCGGGCUUAACCUGGGAAUGGCGCCUGUGACUGUAUAGCUAGAGUGUGUCAGAGGGGGGUAGAAUUCCACGUGUAGCAGUGAAAUGCGUAGAUAUGUGGAGGAAUACCAAUGGCGAAGGCAGCCCCCUGGGAUAACACUGACGCUCAUGCACGAAAGCGUGGGGAGCAAACAGGAUUAGAUACCCUGGUAGUCCACGCCCUAAACGAUGCUGACUAGUUGUUCGGGAUUUACAUCCUGAGUAACGUAGCUAACGCGUGAAGUCAGCCGCCUGGGGAGUACGGUCGCAAGAUUAAAACUCAAAGGAAUUGACGGGGACCCGCACAAGCGGUGGAUGAUGUGGAUUAAUUCGAUGCAACGCGAAAAACCUUAGCUACCCUUGACAUGUCACUAACGAAGUAGAGAUACAUUAGGUGCUCGUAAGAG